AGCUCCAAUAGCGUAUACUAAAGUUGUUGCAGUUAAAAAGCUCGUAGUUGGAUUUCUGCGCGGGCGGGGCGUCCACCGUCCUGAGUGGCGGGUUGGGCAGCAACGCCCGCGCAUCCUGCCGCGAACCACGCUAUCAUUCAUUUGGUGGCGUCUUGGGGAUCGGCUCGUUUACUUUGAGAAAAAUAGAGUGUUCAAAGCAGGCAACUCGCCUUGAAUAAUGUAGCAUGGAAUAAUGAUAAAGGACUUUGGUUCUAUUUUGUUGGUGUUCGGGACCGAAGUAAUGAUUGAUAGGGACAGUUGGGGGGCGUC
rnacentral:rRNA from 1 species